GGCAGUCGGUAAACUUUGAAGUGUAUUGCCAUACUUUUUGGUUAAAUAGAUAAGAGGGUCCCAAUUAAUGAGUUUGGCAAUGACCUUUUUCCUGCAAUGGAGAAUCCUGUUCUAAACGCUGCUGGAACGAGUUAGAAACCAAAAGAGCAUUCAACACUCUUAACUUUUAAUGGAAUUAAGCUAUUACACUUCAAAUUUUCUUCUUUUAUUGGAAAUUAUGGCAUCUUUGGUGGCCUGUUAAUGACAUUGUCCAGGUUAGAUGUCAUAUUUCUUCAGCAUCUCAGUGCCAGUGUUGACUUUCUAAAACAACUACUGGAAGGUGUUAUCUACCUAGUUGUGCAGAUUGAGGCCAUCAACGUCUGGAAGAAUUUUGCUGAGACAUUCCAAUUAGCUCAAUGCCGCAGGACGGUGUUUAAACACUCUUUCAAGCUAGGAGAUUUUCUGGGCAAUUUAUUGGUAAUGUGAAUCAAUGCAUGUUGGACAUUGUUGCUUUGCUUGGACAAUAUUCUCUGCUUAAAACUAGCCAAUGAAGCAUUUUCCCUGACAUAGAAAAUGGUUGAGUAACACUUUGUGGAGUUACCUGGGAGGAAAAACGAAAAGAAAAGAAAGCGUCUCACUUCAUGUUGGUACAUUGUGAAUCAAACUGAUUUUGCCUGGAAUUGUCGACAGUUUUGAUCUCAAAAGAUUGUACAUUUCAUCUAUGGAGGAAACAUCUUGAUAAUGGUAAGAAUUUUGGAUCAGAUUUCAAUUGAUUUGUUGUAUUUUAGAAUUACUUAAGUUCAGUUUGUAACCAUGAUAGAAUAUCCUAUAGGCCAUGAUGUUACAUAGUAGACAGAUACGUCAGUGCAUUGACAGUUUCUUUUUAUUCUGUAUUUUGUAUAUUAUGUCGGUAAAUUGUUCUUUAGGCUAUUGGGAAUUUGACCUUUUAAGUUUCCUCGUCCAUGGAGAUUUUGAAUGUGAGGUUGAUAUUACUCUUA